rnacentral:rRNA from 1 species
GUUAAGUCAGGCAACGAGCGAGACCCACGCCACAGUUGCCAGCAUGUCCUCCGGGGAUGAUGGGGACACUGUUGGGACCGCCUCUGCUAAAGAGGAGGAAGGAAUGGGGCAACGGUAGGUCAGCAUGCCCCGAAUUAUCCGGGCUACACGCGGGCUACAAUGGUCAGGACAAUGGGUAUCAACACCGAAAGGUGAAGGCAAUCUCCUAAACCUGUCCUUAGUUCGGAUUGUGGGCUGCAACUCGCCCACAUGAAGCUGGAAUCUGUAGUAAUCGCGUCUCAAAUGGCGCGGUGAAUAUGUCCCUGCUCCUU